GACAUUCGAGUCAGAAGAGCUCUGUGAUCAACAGAGAGCAUUACUAAUGAAGUCCAAGGCAGACAUGCAAGACAGAAAGGCUCAGAAAUCCCCCUUAUCACUUUGGAAGGCCAAGAGUGAGCCAGAGGCAUCAGAUGUGGACAAAGUGGAUGACAUCAGGAAGAAGGUCUUUCUUCCACCAGGAAAAGCAACAGAUGAAAAUAAAAUUGGUCAAAUAUGAGGAACAACCCAACAUCCUUCAGAGAAUCCCAGGAUCAAAAAACUACGUAGAACAACAAGGAGGAACUAGAGAAAAGUCAGUAUGAUGAUGUAGGACAGAGGCUCUUUUUCUGAAGUCAAUGCCGGAUGAAGCUCUGAAGGAUUAGAAGGCUUUCCCUACUUUUGCUUUGGACAUAUUUGAAGACUAGGUACAGCUUUUCUGUUCACUAAAAUCUCUCAAACCUUUAUA
rnacentral:lncRNA from 1 species